UGCCGAAAACGCCUUGCGGGGAGGUUGAGCCGCUUGCACAAUGUCUGAAAUGAACGAGCUGUCCGAGCUCUAUGAGGAAAGCAAUGACCUGCAGAUGGAUGUGAUGCCUGGCGAGAAUGACCUUCCGCAGAUGGAGGCAAAAGACUCUGGUUGAACUUCAUAAUGUAAGAACUGUUAAGUGAAAAUUGUCCAGUAAAAGGAAAGCCCUACACCUAAAAAAAGACUUCAUGAACAACCCUUAAAGGUUUUAAACCUGCCCAGAAAUCCACCUUGGUAUCUGAAGUUUCCCUCUGUCUCCUCCUCUAGUUAAGCUUGUUAUUGGUUAUGCACCAGCAUUGGGGAUAAUAAAAAUUUCUUGUUCUGUGUA